AUGCUGAGGCCCAGCCUAGGUAACAAUUGUAAGACAAGUUUGGAUUUCUUAGUUUCCCUCCAUGGGGAUUUUAUUUUGGGAUUCUGGCAAUGUAAUCUUUCUGUGAAACUUGUUUUGCAUACUUCUAACUGUGUGCUUCUAAGAAAACAGCAAAUUCUGAUUUUUUUUUUUUUUCUUUUUUUUUUUGUUUUUUGUUUUUUUUUGAGACAGAGUUUUGCUCCUGUCGCCCAGGCUAGAGUACAAUGGCAUGAUCUCGGCUCACUGCAAUCUCUGCCUCCCGGGUUCAAGCGAUUGUCCUGCUUCAGCCUCCCUUGAGUAGCUGGGAUUAUGGGUGUGCACCACCACACCCUGCUAAUUUUUGUAUUUUUAGUAGAAACAGAGUUUCACCAUGUUGGCCAGGGUGGGUCUCAAAUUCCUGACCUCAGGUGAUCCACCUGCCUUAGCCUCCCAAAGUGUUGGGAUUACAGGCAUGCAUGCGCUACCUACCACACCUGGCCUUACAGUUCUUUUUUAAUUCAGUGGUUGCUUUAGGAUUUAGAGUAUACAUCUUUAUCACAGUCUAGGUCCAAAUGAUGAUAUACCUCUUUAUGAAUAGUACAAGACCCUUAUGAUAGUGCACUUGUUUUUCCUCUCUGACAUUUAGGCUGUUGUGUAGAUGCAUAUUUCCACCUGGUAUCUUUUGCUUCUGUCUGAAAUCUAUGUAUGAUUUUUUAUGACUAUUUUCAGCAAUUUUAUGUUCAUUUGUCUAUUUUUCUUAUGUAAUUUGAGUUCAUUGAUCUUAACUCUGUGAAUUUAUAGUUUUAAAAACAAAUUUAAAAUUAUUUGACUAUUAUUUCCUCAAAUAUAUUUUUCAGCUGCCCCUGCUUUCCCUCUUCUUGGGGAUCUCUGGUGUUGUUCCACAUCUUGUUUGAAAAUCUCUAUUUAUUUGGAUAAUCUGUAUUUGUACAUCUUCAAGAACGUUAAUAUUUUCUUCUGCAGUGUUUAAUCUGUUGUUAAUCCCAUGCAGUGAAUUCUUCAUUUCAGGCAUUGCUGUUUCAAUCUCUAGAAGUUUCCCUGAAGUCUUACUUGAUGAAAAAGACAGAUAAAAACAAAUGUUGGUAAAGAUAUGGAGAAAUCAGAAUCUGAACACACCGAUGGUGGGAAUGUAAAAUGGUCAGGGCAAUUCGGAAAGCAGUCUGGGAGUUUCACAAAAGGCUGAAUGUAGUUAGCAUAUAACAGCAAUUAUUCACCUAGGUAUAUACUCCAGAGAAAUAAAAACGUAUCCACACCAAAACUUGACCUCUAC
rnacentral:lncRNA from 13 species